UGCGAGGUAGCUCAGCCUGGUAGAGCGCUGGUCUCAUAAGCCAGAUGUCGUGAGUUCGAAUCUCACCCUUCGCAACCA
rnacentral:tRNA from 1 species